rnacentral:antisense_RNA from 1 species
CCUCCUUUCAAGAACUUUCUGACCCUGGAUCCAGUCUAAAUGUUGGUUAUAAACUCACCUGACAUCCACAGGGCCCUUCCAAAGUACUGUCAAGGCUGACUGCUGGUGCCUGGAACCUGCACACCCUCCUGGGACUCUGCAUCUCUGCUGGGGCUGGUUUCUCCUCUGAGCCACCUUAAGGAAUCCCAUCCUGACCCGCAAUACCUGCCUGGCAGAGUUGUGAGAAUUAAAUGAGAUGAUGAAUACAUCUGCUCUCAGCACCACACCACACCUGUGGCAGUCCUCAGAGAGAAGAAUCACAGCUUCCAUUCAUUGACAGCUCACUAAGUGCCAGAACCAUAGAGCUCAAAGCUUCUCAGCUCAACGGAGAACUCAGCACUUCUUGGACUGAUAAAUAGAGCAGCUUUAAAAUGCUUAGAACUGAAGACAGACCAACUGUGGC